AUAUUCCUCAAUGGGCGAAAGCCUGACGGAGCGACGCCGCGUGAGCGAUGAAGGUAUUCGGAUAGUAAAGCUCUGUUGUUAGGAAAGCACAAGUACCGGAUUAACUGCCGGUACCUUGACGGUACCUAACCAGAAAGCCCCGGCUCACUACGUGCCUGCAGCCGCGGUAAUACGUAGGGGCCGAGCGUUGUCCGGAAUUAUUGGGCGUAAAGGGCGCGUAGGCGGUCUCUUAAGUCUGAUGUGAAAGCCCCCGGCUUAACCGGGGAGGGUCAUUGGAAACUGGGAGACUUGAGUGCAGGAGAGGGAAGCGGAAUUCCAUGUGUAGCGGUGAAAUGCGUAGAGAUAUGGAGGAACACCAGUGGCGAAGGCGGCUUCCUGGCCUGUAACUGACGCUGAGGCGCGAAAGCGUGGGGAUCAAACA
rnacentral:rRNA from 1 species